rnacentral:rRNA from 1 species
GAUGAACGCUGGCGGCGUGCCUAAUACAUGCAAGUCGAGCGAACAGACGAGGAGCUUGCUCCUCUGACGUCAGCGGCGGACGGGUGAGUAACACGUGGAUAACCUACCUAUAAGACUGGGAUAACUUCGGGAAACCGGAGCUAAUACCGGAUAAUAUAUUGAACCGCAUGGUUCAAUAGUUAAAGACGGUUUUGCUGUCACUUAUAGAUGGAUCCGCGCCGCAUUAGCUAGUUGGUAAGGUAACGGCUUACCAAGGCAACGAUGCGUAGCCGACCUGAGAGGGUGAUCGGCCACACUGGAACUGAGACACGGUCCAGACUCCUACGGGAGGCAGCAGUAGGGAAUCUUCCGCAAUGGGCGAAAGCUUGACGGAGCAACGCCGCGUGAGUGAUGAAGGUCUUCGGAUCGUAAAACUCUGUUAUUAGGGAAGAACAAAUGUGUAAGUAACUAUGCACGUCUUGACGGUACCUAAUCAGAAAGCCACGGCUAACUACGUG